UACAGAGGGGGCAAGCGUUGUCCGGAUUUAUUGGGCGUAAAGAGCGUGUAGGCGGCCAUGUAGGUCCGUUGUGAAAACUCGAGGCUCAACCUCGAGACGCCGAUGGAAACCAUGUGGCUAGAGUCCGGAAGAGGAGAGUGGAAUUCCUGGUGUAGCGGUGAAAUGCGCAGAUAUCAGGAAGAACACCCGUGGCUAAGGCGGCUCUCUAGUACGGUACUGACGCUGAGACGCGAAAGCGUGGGGAGCGAACAGG
rnacentral:rRNA from 1 species